GGAGGGAGCUAGCGUUGUUCGGAAUUACUGGGCGUAAAGCGCACGUAGGCGGCUUUGUAAGUCAGAGGUGAAAGCCUGGAGCUCAACUCCAGAACUGCCUUUGAGACUGCAUCGCUUGAAUCCAGGAGAGGUGAGUGGAAUUCCGAGUGUAGAGGUGAAAUUCGUAGAUAUUCGGAAGAACACCAGUGGCGAAGGCGGCUCACUGGACUGGUAUUGACGCUGAGGUGCGAAAGCGUGGGGGGAGCAAACAGGAUUAGAUACCCUGGUAGUCCACGCCCGUAAACGAUGAUAACUAGCUGUCCGGGCACUUGGUGCUUGGGUGGCGCAGCUAACGCAUUAAGUUAUCCGCCUGGGGAGUACGGUCGCAAGAUUA
rnacentral:rRNA from 1 species